CGAUCGGACGACUCCCAGCAUCACACGCCCAUCACCCUACCCUUUCCAUCGCCCGUUUGAGUGGAUGUGGACGAUAACUGUUCGUUUGUUGCCGCUUCUCGCGUUGGUUUUCUUCCUGACUUAGCUAGGGCAGCGACACCCCACCACACCAUAAUAACUUCAUCACCGCAGCGACCGAUAAAAACAAAAAACAGAGCUUGUGCGCCGCACCAAACUUGCUGAAAUGAUUCUUGGAGCUUGAUCUCACGGCAUUUCCUCGAAAAAGCGAUGCCAAUAAUAUUAUUGUUGUUAUUAAUUCGAAUAUAGACUCUUCAGGGUAAUAACAGUAACGGCGAUUGCGUAAAGGAUUUAAUUUUUGCAUUAAAUUUUCAGAUAUGGCCAAACCCACCACGAAAAAGAAUAAUUAUUGCCAACUCCAUUCUUCAAAGUUCUCACAGAGUUUGCACCAAACUUAGCAUUUGCGUUGUUUCGUGAUUUCUACUGCUGCGCAUAAAUAUAUGGGCAUUAUCUCUUUCUUCAAUUAUAAACUUUACUUUUAUGUGUUUAAAAAUAGAAUUUGAUAAGACUUGCAAAAAAUUGCGUUCACACUUUUUCAACAUAUAAUGAUACUAACGAUUCAUUGAAAUCUGAAUUCUUUUGAACACAGUACUGCAUAGAUCCAAAAUGCGUACAAUUAAUAAGAGGUAAAGAUAACAACAACAACAACAACAAUAAUAAUAAGAAUAAUAAGAAUAAUAAUAAUACAUUAUGCUCUUCUGCUCGUAGGGUAGGGAACGAAGAGCCCAACCCAUAUGCCAUUGCGGAAUACUAUGAUAUUCGUGGGGGGUUAUCGUGUGGGUCACCGUGGCAAGGCGAAAGAGCUUGCUUGGUAAAAGCAUGGAGCAGCAGCAGCACGGCACAUCGUUGCCUUGUUGCUUUUUUACUGCAAUAGCCACCCCCCUCCUCCUGCCCCCGUGGCUACUGGCUGAUGCCCGUGCCUCUGCCACUUCUUCGGCUUCUUAUUCUUCUUCUUCUGGAAAGAGGCAGUUGCAGGGAGAUCAUAAGCCCCUCUCUCCGUGUCACCAACCUUGAUGACAGACAGAGCGAAUCUACAAAAGUAGUGCCACUCCCCU
rnacentral:lncRNA from 1 species